rnacentral:rRNA from 1 species
UGCUUUGAUGAAGUUUUCGGAUGGAUUUAAACAGCUUAGUGGCGGACGGGUGAGUAACGCGUGGGUAACCUGCCUCACACUGGGGGAUAACAGUUAGAAAUAGCUGCUAAUACCGCAUAAGCGCACGGUUCCGCAUGGAACAGUGUGAAAAACUCCGGUGGUGUGAGAUGGACCCGCGUCUGAUUAGGUAGUUGGUGGGGUAACGGCCUACCAAGCCGACGAUCAGUAGCCGACCUGAGAGGGUGACCGGCCACACUGGAACUGAGACACGGUCCAGACUCC